rnacentral:piRNA from 1 species
GUGGAUCUCUUUGAGUUUGAGGCC